GCAAAUUCCGACUGAUGAACUGCUUCUUCUCCCUCGGCGAACCUUUAUUUUUGGGCAACUUUUCUGCUAUUUCAGGCCUUCUCCCUCGGCUCCCCUUCUCUCUCCCUUUCGCGCGCAAUUUCUUCCAUUGCUCCAUGGACGGCGAUCUGAGAAAGAUUUAAGGGGUUCAAAGUUUAAAACCUUAAACCUAAAAGAUCUUAGGGUCCGAAUU